rnacentral:ncRNA from 1 species
UGGUCCUAGCCUUGAAAUCAAUUUUUACUUAAUGUACACAUGCAAGUAUCCGCACCCCUGUGAAAACGCCCUUAAAUCCCCGAUAGGGAUGAGGAGCCGGUAUCAGGCUCUACUAAAGCCCAAGACACCUAGCUACGCCACACCCACAAGGGAACUCAGCAGUGAUUAACAUUGAUAAUAAGCGAAAGCUUGACUCAGUUAAAGUAAAAUAGAGCCGGCAAAUCUGGUGCCAGCCGCCGCGGUUAUACCACGUGGCUCAAAUUGAUCUCUCACGGCGUAAAGCGUGAUUAAAGCUUCCUCAAACUGUAGUUAAACUAAAAUUAAGCUGUGACACGCUUAUUUAAAUAAAACCCGUAUACGAAAGUUACUACAAUAUAACCAACUUGAAUUCACGACAGUUAGGGAACAAACUGGGAUUAGAUACCCCACUAUGCCUAACCGUAAACUUUAACUUACAUUAAAACCGCCGGGGAACUACGAGCAAAGCUUAAAACCCAAAGGACUUGACGGUAUCCCACAUCCACCUAGAGGAGCCUGUCCUAUAAUCGACACUACACGCUUUACCUCACCACUCUUAGCUUAUCAGCCUGUAUACCUCCGUCGUCAGCUUACCACGUGAGCGACCUUAGUGAGCUUGAUGUCCUCUCGUCAAAACGUCAGGUCAAGGUGCAGCUUAUAGAGUGGAAAGAGAUGGGCUACACUCUCUAACCUAGAAAACACGAAAGACUAUUUAUGAAAUCUAGUCAGAAGGCGGAUUUAGAAGUAAAAAGUGAUAAGAAAACCCUUUUUAACAAGGCACUGGGAUGUGUACACACCGCCCGUCACCCUCUUCAAAGCUAAUAAUUUAGUAUCUAACUCCAUCAGGCAGAAAGAAGAGGCAAGUCGUAACAUGGUAAGUGUACCGGAAGGUGUACUUGGAAA